CUUGGAUAAAGCUCCACGUGCGACUGAACUGCCUGACGAAAUUGAAGCGCGUUGCCCAUGCCUUCCACGCAUAUCCCAAUAAACUAUCGCUACCAUAUCCUUCAAAGGAGUCGUGCCAUGUAAGUACUAAUUCCACGUCCACACAAAUACUAUAUUUUGCAGUACAACAACAUUCCACCCUUCAAAUCAAUCUUUCACUUACCUUUGAUUUGUUUUUUUUUUUCUUCCUACUUCACCCCUCUCGCCACUGAGUAUUGUUGUCGUCGUUGAAAAUACCUAAGUAUUGCAAUUGAUAAAAGAACCGGAGCAAAAUUGCUGACUGAAAACAAGCAUCCGAAGCUUGUUUAUCCUUUUGCUAAAUAUUGGUUCAGCACCUUCGGCCUGUUUCCAGAUUCACUCCUUUUUUCAGGGCCAGCCAGAGGACGAAGACACUAAAGCGGGGAUUUUAGGCUCCAAAAUUUUGGGGGCCUCAUUUUUUUAAUCCAAUGUUCGAUACCUGUAUUGAAUUUUUCGAUUGAUUCGAUUUCGAGACGCAAAGCUGGUUAAAGAGGGAAGCACUCCCUAACAAAAAAUUUUUGUCCUAAGGCUGGAACCCAAGACCUCUAGGAUGAGACCUAAUUCUUACUUACAAUAGAUUUAUAGGUUAAUUUUUCUUUUAAAAAAUAUUUAGCAGAAAAAAUAAGACCUCCCGUUAAAGUUGGCUUUAGGCCCCCGAUUUUAUUGAACCGCUCCUGCAUACAUACCCAGUUGUACAUGUCCUUAUCUUAGGAUACAUAUGUUUUUUUUUUCCUUGGAAGAAUCUUCAUUCCGUCCAAUUAGUUGAACGCAUAUUAAGUGAUAUAUAUGGCAUUUUUUUUUUUUUUUUUUACAUUAUUAGAUCAUUUAAAUUUAUCCCCGAUAGUGUAAAAAUUCUUGGCAUAACUUGUAUAUACACAAGUUGUACUAGAAUUAUAAUGCAAGGAUUACAAUACAAAGAUUAAAUAAUGACAAGAUAUUUGAUAGAUAUAUUUUUAUAGGUAGAUAUUUGGUUCAUUAGACUAAAAAUGAGAUAUGCGAAGUAUAAUAUAAAACAUGUGUUUGUUUUUACUUACACUUGAAAAGGAAUUUGGGUGCAAAGGCAUUGAUGCACAGAUGUUUUCUCUAAAGGGGAAUUGGGUCGUGGGUGGCGGGUCAUGGGUCGGGUAGUAGGAUAAGAUCUGGUGGGGAGGGCCGGGGCUUUAUUUUCGACCAAUAAGGAGGCAUCUCGUAAUAAAUUAUAAUAAAAAAUACUUAUAAGAACGGAGAGGGUAGUUAAGUUUAAGGAUAUAAGUGAGCCAAAAUAGGUGGAUGAAGUGUAUUUUUAGACCAAUAGAUGGAUGAAGGGUAUUUUUAAAUCUUUUGGGAUAGUUCCGGGACAUUUUUGGACCUUUUCCGUAUAAUCAAACAUGUUCACAAGCAGAACUCCAAACAUCAAUAACAAAUUCCAUUAGAACCAUUUCAGUUACAGAUGCGAUGAUCAAAUAAAAUCAAUCACAAUAGACAAUAUCCGAAAUUCCAGUUCUAAUUUAAGACGCUAAAGUAACACCUUUAAUUCUCGCAUUUCAUGAGUAGAACUAGUUUCAUGAGUUACAGCAAUUUUUGGUAGAUUAUAUUUGCAUCAUACUUGCAGAUUUGAUAUACAAGGUGUGCUUAAUUCCUCCAUAAUAGUUUACUUGUUUCAUUUAGUUUGACAUAACUAUAUACAAGCUAAAAUUAAGAGCCUGUUUGGAAAGCCACCCAGGUAAUUGAAAUUAGGUGUAAUUGGGUGUAAAUUACACAGUUUGGCCUGCUUGUUUGACCAAGUAAUUACACAAUUAGGUGGGAAUUGGGUGUAAUUGAGAGGGUGUAAUUACACUCUCCAAUUCUCAAGGGGGUUGAGAAUUGAGUGUAAUUACACCCUGUAAUUACAUGGUUACUUUUUAGUUUGUUUCUUUUUUGUUUAUUUUAAUUUCUAUUAUUUUAAUUUCUUUUUAUUUUUAAUUUCUUUUAAUUUUUAAUUUAUUUUUAUUUCUAUUAUUUUAAUUUCUUUUUUCUUUUUUCUUUUUAAUUAUUGUAUUUUGAAAAUGUAUUUUUUUUUUUUUAUGUAUUUUUCAUUUCCUUUCUUCCCAUUCCCAACCUUUACUUCUUGUGGUUCCAUGUAAUUGAUCGUAUUUUUUAUUUAUUUUUUCAUUUAGCAUAACCAUGUUAUUAUUCUAAUUUUGGAAACUACACCUCUUAAUAUUGGAAAGAAUGAAUCAUUAACAAACUUGACAUACAACGAGUGACGUUAUUAAAGUAGAAUUUCGUUGUGAAUGAGGUUAUAGACGUGUAUUUUUCCUUUCUUUUGAAUGAACUUACUUAUGUAAUAUUGGAAUUUGACAUAAGAGUAUUAUAUUAAACUUUUUCUUUUGGAUUUUGAAUUUAUGUUAUAUUUUCAAUUUUAAGUUAUUUGCUUUUUGUUUAUUUGUCACUUGCAUUUGAUGGAUUUUUUGUGUCAAACAUUUGAAUAACAUUAUGAUAUUAUAUUUAUAAAUAUUAUAUUUUUGUCAAACAUCCAAUCCAUGACGUUCUUAAAAAAAAUCUUCUUUUAAGUUUUAUAAUUAAUUAAAAUUAAAUACUAUUAAUUUGAAAAAUAUAUAUCCAUUAUUUUUUUACAAUAUUAGUUACAAAUAUAUGAUUAUUAAUUAAUAUAUUUUCAAGAAACAAUGUGUUAUUAAAUAACUAAUUUAAUAUCAUUUAUAAGGAAAACAUUUUUUAUAUAUUAAUUUUAAAUUUUUUAUAAUUAAAUUUUAUUUUUAAAUUAAACUAAAUGUGUAAUUACACUUGUGCAAUCAAACAACACGCUUGUAAUUACACUGUAAUUACGUUAUGACAAACAAACAGGUCGUUGUAAUUACACUACUGUGUAAUUACUAGGCUUUGUAAUUACUACCCUAGUAAUUACAUCAAUUCCAAUUACCAGGUGGCUUUCCAACAGGCCCUAAAUUGAAAUUUUAUUAUACUUAAAUGAUAUAAAGUUGAUUCUUGUAAAAUUAAAAUUUUGUGCUCUUUAGAACAGAAAGAUGUAUUGGCUUACCUCUUGGAUACUCCUAGAAUAAUGAUAAAAUAUGCGUGGAAGAGAUUUCUAUUUCAGAAAAGUUGACACAAUUUUCGGAUCCCUCUUUACUUCCCAACGGAGAAUAUAGGUAGGGAUGACAGGAUUUGGACCCUAACAUGUUUUACCCCAAACAAGGCUAUACCAAACUACUCUACAUCCCUUUCAAUUGGUCUACAAUGUAGAAAAUCCCAGCCCACCACUCUCCCUGUAGGCCGAGCCUCCCUUUCAGUCGCUCUCUACAUCAUUUAGGGUAAUUCAAGGAAUUAGACAUUUUCAUUAAAAAUGACCUUAGGUCUAUUUUUUUUUUUUAAUAAGCCAUUACCUUAGGUUGUGAUCCCUUAGGUGUGGGGGGUUAGACUUGACCUCUAUCAGGUCCAUUAAUGCACAAAAAUGUUACACAUGUUAGAGGGGGACAUGGGCCAAACCUCUAAUCAUUAAUUACAUAGGGAGGAUUUGACCUAUACAAGUUCCAUCCCUACUACUACAUUAAGAAAAUUAACUUACAAAGAAGUUGCUUUUAUCAUAUCUCCUUCUCAUUGAUGGAAAGUGCCAUUUAUCCAGUUGAAUUAAACCUUUAACUUCUUGUGGCAGUUGAUGUCUUGAAGUAUAAAAGGUUUCAUUUCUACUAGCAGCAGCUAACUUUGCAAAGUAAUCAGCAAUCUUAUUAGCUUCUCUGAAGCAGUGUUUGAAAUCCACCACUUCACUCCUUGCCCAAGUGCUCUGAACCUUAGGUCUAAUUCAAUCUUUAAAAUUAGCUCAUGAAUUAAGAAUUGCUCAGAACUAUAAAAAAGACCAAGUCCCCCAUCCACAAUUGAUGUGGGAAGCUCAAUAAAAUUAAUUAAGGCAAGGAAUGAAUCUUAGCUUUCGUGUUUCUUCUUCAAAUAAUUAAUUAACACGCUUAAUCAUGAAACUUGAGUAAUAAUCAACUGCAAUAUAAGACUUACUAUAUCUGUUUUGGUCAUACAACCUCCAAGACAAAUAAGUUCAAGCACUUCAAUAUUUUCAUACACAAAAAAUCAUAUUUUCUACAACAUUAUAUUGCAGUGAGUUCCUCAAGAAGUUUUAAUAGUUGGAUCUACCCAUCUAGUUUGCUGAAGAAAACUUUAUAAUAACUGCUCCUCUUGGGCAUCACAAUCAUAAUUAGAGAUAAUAUCUAAUGAAUUUUUUGGAUAUAUAUAUAUAUAUAUAUAUAUUAAUCAUUAAACUCUUUUAUUCACCACAUUUACCUAAUUAUAUCCAAUCUGAAAUUGCGCAAGUACUUUAUGGUAGUUUUUAGGAAAGCAGCAUUCUCAAAAGCAAUUAGUAGCACGCGUGUUGUUGAUUUAGCAUAAAGACUCAAAGUGCAGCGUGCUUCUUUUGCUUACAUAUAUCUGGUGAUUAUCCCAAUUUAAGCCACUAAUUUGGAGAUUAUUGUUGCCUCUUUGUCAUUUACCUUUGCUAAUUUUUUUCACUCAUUUCAUGGAGACUGUAUUUAGCGCAUUCUUCUAUUCGUGACUUUUUGCUUGAUUUUUUAAGUUUACUACAUUGACCUUUUUGCUGUCCUGUAUGGCCGGUUAUUUCAAGAAUUACUGAGUUUAAUUAUUUCAAGCAUCCAUAAGAACGAUAAAAUAGUUUGAGACUCUAACUUAGGGAAUAAAUGAUGCUCCAUAUAGGAGGAGAAAGAACUGAGAAUUAGAUCAGAAGAACCAUAGUUCAACUAACUUAAUAUAUAGGCUACAAAGGCAAUUAAGAUGAUUUCAAGCUUUAUUAAUCCUCUUUGUUUAAUCCGACCAUAUAUAGUUGUCAACUACUAGCCCAAAAUCAUGCUUUCUAUGGAUUAUUGACUAAUAUGUAUCCGGUCAAUUACUAAUUAAACUAUAAUCACCUGAGCUAAUAUGAGUUCAAUCUUUAAUUUUUUUUAGAAUUCAUUAUAUUUGUGAAAUUAUGGGUUGAGACUUACUGUUUUAGUUCAUUUUUCUACAUAAAUGUAUGUUACGAAUAAAAAGAACUGAGUUCAGAUGAACCUGGUGCCGCAGCGCUUCAUCCAUUGAUACUUCUAUUCAAUAUAUUGUGUGUGUGAGAGAGAUUAAUAAGUAUGUUACGAAUAAAAAGAACUGAGUUCAGAUGAACCUGGUGCCGCAGCGCUUCAUCCAUUGAUACUUCUAUUCAAUAUAUUGUGUGUGUGAGAGAGAUUAAUAAGUAGCUGUAGUUUCUUAAUGUCCCCUUCGAAGGACUUGUCUUCAGGUACAUGGCAAAGGACCAGAGAUUCAAAUGAUCUGUUUCGAGGAUAGCUGCAAGCUUAGGGCAAAAAAUUAAGAACAUAGAUUUAUAACACUAAAGUACAUUAAAGUUAAUGAUAAACCGACAAUUUGUACAUGAGUUUUUUAAUUGAAGUUGGGCAGAUCAAGUAAGCUUAGCACAAAUUAAUCAAGCGAAUAUAUACAUAAAAUAAUAAAAAUCAGAUUAGUGUUCAGAUCUUCCUUCCGACAAAAUCUGCACAGCAAAAGAGGACAGAAAAAAAAACCGUAGCACUCGAUAAUUAAUUUUUGUGUGAAGACGACCCCACCUUUCAAUUUCUUUCCUUUUAUAGUAGUAAAGAUUUGCAAGAAAUUUCCCCAAUAAGAAAACCUAAAAUUGAACAACUACCAUAUAUAGAGAAAGCAAAAGAAGAAAAAGGGGAAAAAAGAGGCUGAACAUGAUGACCGAAGCAUAGAGAGCACAAAUGAAGUGAUAUGCUUUUGUAGUUUGUUGUUGGCCUCUCCAGAUUUAGCAUGUCAUCAUAUGUGCUCUCUAUCUUCUGUCAACAAUAUAGCCAAUUUCCCUUAUUCCUCUUCAUACUAUUCAAUACCCUAUACACAUACAGCUAAUAAUUAGUAGUACAGCAAAAUGUUGAAGAAAAACAUGAAUUUUGGGUGGGUGGGUAGGGUUGGUGUUUAAUGCAGACAGGGAGGAGUAGGGUAAGUUUUGGGUUGGGAGAUUUAUAGUAGUAUUAAUUUUGGGGGACUACCGUAUUAAGGACUAGCAGGAGAGAAGGGCCUAUUUAUAGAAAGAAAAUAGUACUACUAUGAGAGUAAAUAAUUCAUUCCAGUACCUGUCCCCUAGAUAUGUUCGUUAUUGACGUUUUUCACUGUAAAUACACCACCGCCACAAGUUCGCACUGUUACUUUUAAUAACCCUAAAUUCAGUUUCUUUCUGGUUAACCAUACAUUCCACUGUGCUCACUCAACGUUACAAAGGCAAAAAUGCCACAAAGAUUCUUCCAACACUAGCCUGUUUGGCUAAGCUUCUAACUUUUCAAAAUAGUACUUGUGACGAAAAAUAGUUUGUGUUUUGUCAGUUAAUUUAAAAAAUAUUUUUGAACAGUAAUAAGUGUUUGACCAAGCUUUUAGAAAAUAUUUAUAAGUGCAUUUUUAUCAAAAAUGUUUUUCAAAAAAAUAUUUUUGGACGAAAAAUAACUUUUGCUACUCCCCGGUAGCUCUUAUUUUUCUCCCAAAAGCUUGGCCAAGCACCUCACUUUAUUAAAAGAAAAAAAAACACUUUUGAGGGAAAAUAAGCUUGGUCAAACAAGCUAUAAAUAAUAAAAAUUUGUCUGCGAUUAGCACGCAUUGGUGGUGGAUUAUCAAAAUAUCCUAUUUACAGAGUUUUUUUUUUUCUGAAAUUCCGUAGUCAAUUUCUAUUUUUUUUUAGGUGAAAAAAAACAACAGAAGUAUAAGAAAAAGCUUCCCCAUAGAAAUUAGAAGAACAAAGCUUCUGUUCCUCAUUUUCUGGAAGAGUCAAUAUCUCUUUUAUUACAAUUUAUAUGUGAACUGUUUUUUUUGUUCAUUUUGAAAAGAAGAUCCUUUUUAAAUUUAAAAGGAAAAUUAAUCUUGUAAUUUUACACUUAUGAGAAGAUUUUAUAUCAUUUAACACUCCAUCCGUUUCAAUUUACGUGAACCUGUUUUCUAUUUAGGUAGUGCCAAAUUAGAUUUGAAAACGGAUUCAUUUUUUAAUUGAUUUAUAACGACACAAAUAUUUUUGACUUGUUUCAACUCACAAAUUUUAAAAGUCUUCCUUUCUCUCUUAGACUGCUCUCAAAAAUAGGUUCACAUAAAGGAGGGAGUAUUAUAAAUUUCAAAAUCUUAAUACCUAUACAAAUAUUAUGACAUAUUUAAUAUCAUUACGAAAGAAUCGUCUUUCUGGGGGACUUUCUACCGUCAAAUUGAAGUAGGAGUAAAAUUUAUAUGCGAUUACUGCAGAUUUUAUACAUGUGGGGUGACAGGUACCUGGUGCUUCCUUUGGGUGAAGUAUUCAUAAAAUGAGGACUUCGGUUCCCAAUUAUUCUAGAGCAAAAAAAGAAAUCGUUCUAGAUAUUAGUGGUUGUAAAAUCUAAAAAUCAUUUUCCCGUCAUUGUAGAUCUUAAUUCCUGGGGGUUGUAUGUAUCUUCUGAUGGUGAUCCAAACUGUUGUAUAAUUAGCAAGUCCUACUGCAUCUGGGGUUUUCUCUUCCGAGAUCCUUGGCAACUUUAUUUGAUUAAUUUGAGCAUGAGCCCCUCUCUUACAGAAAUGCAGAGUAAGACUGCAUACAGUAGACUUUUGUGGUCUGUUUCUUCCGCGAACAUGCACAUAGCCUGAACUUAGUGUACCGGGCUUUUUUUUUUUUUUUUUUUUUUUUUAAACUUUGAUUUGAGCUCAGCUAGAGUUCUGCAAAUGUUAGCGAUUGCCGAUUUGUCUCCUUUUUUUUCCCCCAAAAAUCCAUCACCAUCGUAGUGAUGGGGGGUUUGGCAGGACCCCUACCAUGUCCAUUGAUUCCAAAAUACAGUUACAUUGGAGGGGGACAUGGUACCUUACCUCCUUAAGUCAGUUAAUGCAUUUCGCCUAAGUCACCUCACGGAGGUUCAAAGUACCAACCUGCAUUCUUUUUAACUCUCCUCCUAAAGGAAGGAAGGUUGAGCUUAUUCAUUCUGAGUGGUCCUCUAACUUCCAUCGGCAAGUCACCUUCAACCAAAAAAAUUCUAGGGACUUGUAUUCUUGUUGCGUAUUUAGCUAGGGCAUCUGCCACCUCAUUUCCUUCUCUAUAGCAAUGCUGUAUCGAGAUGUUUCUAUGAGCCAUCUUUGACUUAAUGCUUUCUAUGAUGCCAUGUAACCUCCAAGGAGGUUUAAGGGAACCCUCAAUCAUUUGUACGACCAUCUUGGAAUCCAAUUCUACUUCAAGGGCUUCGAAGGGAUGAUUGACACACCAAGAAAUACCGACUAGAGCUGCAUAUGCUUCACUAUAAUUGUUAGUGCAGAAUUGGGAUGGAUGUGCAAAGGCCAUGACCAUAUCCCCAUUUCUGUUCCUAACAAUACCGCCAGCUCUUGCUUUGUUUUGAUUUUCCAUGUAGCUUCCAUACGUGUUGAGCUUCCAAGUGUUACCUGUUGGUUUGCUCCACUUGAUCAUCUUACUUGUUAUCACUGCUUUGAAAUUUUCUGCUUGUAAACAAAUUUUGCUCCAGUUCCCCUUUAUCCCCGGAAUAAUAUUCAAACUUGUUAUCACUGCUUUGAAAUUUUCUGCUUGUAAACAAAUUUUGCUCCAGUUCCCCUUUAUCCCCGGAAUAAUAUUCAAUCCCUGAC